rnacentral:misc_RNA from 1 species
AAGUCGUAACAAGGUUUCCAUAGGUGAACCUGCGGAGGAUCAGUAACACGUAUCCAACGUUAAACACCCUGUGAACUUUCAGCCUGCUCUUGUAGCCAUGAGGAACAGAAAUCCCGGUAAAUCAUUGCCAAACAGUUUUGAUUCGGGACCUCUGUCCAAAAGGAGUUGCAAUUGAGCGGUAGAUACAGUGGCAUGGCUUCCCCAUGCAGCUAGUGACAGUGUCACUGACUACGCCUCACGGUUUUCAGAGGUCGAUCACCGACCGGACAUGUCACAGGGUCACCACGCCCCUUAAUCACUCCACUUGAAAAUGCCCCGCCUAGUGUAACGCGCUAGGUAAAAAAAAAACGAACAACUGUAACAAGGGUUCUC